UGCUUGAAAGCGAAAAACCGCACUAAGUUUCGGCCUUAGCCCUGAGAAUAAUCUCUCAAGUAA
rnacentral:tRNA from 1 species